UUGGGAAUUGGUCCUGCUUUGAGCAGGGGUUGGACUAGAUGACCUCUUGAGGUCCCUUCCAACCCUGAUAUUCUAUGAUUCUAUGAGUUGGAGGUCAGAGGUGCAUGCAGCCAGGAGUCCUUCUCUACCCUGGAGAAGGCUAGCCAGUCGCAGCUGCCGGAGCUUGGCAAAGUUCAACAGGAGAGGAGGCCCCUGAGAUGAUCUUGGGAGCCCCACCUUCCUCUUAUCGCCAGCUGAAUGGCUGCACAGAAUUAGAAAGCGGCCAUGAAGAAUUAAAGAGAACUUUCUACAUGCGGUCAUGAUGCACUCCGUGGCCAAAAAGCAAGAAUUGCAGGAGUGGCCGGACAGUGAGAAGAGGGACCAAAAGGAGAACACAGUGUGUCAGAAUGAAGCCACAGAACGGCUUUUAAAUGGUAUAGACUGCCAAGUGGACACGCUCCAGGUGCUACUAGCACUGCAAACCAAGCAGUUCUACGACCACCCUCCCCUGCAUCUGCUGUCGCAAAACUCUUUCUAAUGCAUCCCCCUGACACUACCAACACACUCUUAUCCACUUUCUGGUUCAAGUCUGUACUCGCUGCAUUCCACUCCUGCCCCAUCACAAUCCAGUCAUACGGACACCUAGUGCACUCAACAACCAUCCCUCUGUAGUUUAUUCCUCCUGAAGUACAUUACCCACUGCACUGUAUUCCAAGGGAUAACGUUGGAUAUGAUACCUGGACAUACAGUUAAAGAUUUGUGUCCCGGGACCCCACCUUCUCAUCUGUCCCUUCCUUCCCCUAUCCCCUACAGUUCUGAUGUGUUGUUGUUUUUUGUCUCUCUCCUCCGGUUGUUGUUUUUUAAUAAAAGAAUAGUUUUGGUUUGAAA